AUGUCAUUUGAUAAAUCUCGGUCCAUUGUUCUUGUUAAUAAAGACUUUUACCAAUAUUAUCCUUUCCCGUGCCUCGAAACUAUCAACCUGGCCCAAAGAAUGAUUUUUUCUUUAGGAUUCAUGGUUAUUUUUUCUUGUUAUUAUGCAUUACUAUUGAUUCAUGUGCAUGUGCUAAAAAGAAAAAAAAUACCCAACUUGAUUUGGAUGCGGGCGCCAACUAACAAGUUUUCACUUUUGGACGUGGGCGCAGGGGUCAUCGACAUGGACUACUGCGGCCUAGUGGGCAUCAUGCUAUUCAACCACUCGGAGGCGGACUUCGUCGUGAAGCCCGGCGACCGCGCCGAACAUAUGAUCGUCCAGGUCAUUGCGACGCCGGAGGUCGCCGAGGUGAAGGACCUCGACGCCAUCGUCUGGCGGGAGGGAGUGCUCUGA
rnacentral:rRNA from 1 species